CUAGAAGAACUCAUCAAGCUACUGCAACAUAGUCACAUCAGCAGAGGCCGCACAUGACUACAACGAGCAGGGGUAAAUUAUUCCUAUAAUCCAUCUCUCAGGUUCAUCUUUGACUCUUAUGUAUCGAUAGAAGGGAGGAGAGGAAUCAAUGCAUAUCCAAGGAGAGAAGUUAAAGGCUAGGGAGAGAGAUGUGACACUGUUGUGAUUACUUUGCAAAUAUAGAGUUGUAAGAACACAAACAAACAAAAAAAAAUGCUACAUGGUGUAGGAACUACUCAUUAAUAUGAGUAUACAACCACCUGUAUGCCAUGCUGAGGCCACCCUUCUUCUGCCUGAAGCAGACAUAGUGUCUUGAGGUUCUACAGCAACAGACUUGCUGUUGAUCCUGCCAGCAAGAUAUUGAGCUGCUACUUUGUUACACCUAUGUCUGUCUAGAGGAUAUGUGUUUACAGGAAAGAAAGCAGACUGAAGCCUUUGGCUCUACUGCAAAAGUGAGAGACUGUAUAAUUUUGUGUUCCAGAACCACAUCUAGGAUAGCUGUGAGAAAAAGCAUCUGCUGCAAUGGUCUUACAACCUAAAUGAAGAUCACCUCAAUCAUCAAAGACAAGUUCAUUCCCAAAUCAGGUUCUAGGCAACCUGAGGAACCUGAAAAUACACGAAUCCAUAAGAUUUGAUGAGAUGCAUCUUGGAGACCUGAGGGAAUUAGCAACCAUAACUGCCAAGCCACUCAACAUCAUAUUUGAUAGUCAUGGCAGUCAGGCAUCUUCCUUGGUGACUGUUAAAAAAAGUAAUAUAACACUUAUUUUUAAAAGUGUUAUGAGGAGGAAUCCAGGAACUAUCAACAAGUCAGCCGCAUCUUGGUGCCUAGUAAAUCAUGAAACAGUUCAUCUCAGAAGCUAUUUUGAAGCAUACGGGUAAAAAGAAGGCGAUUAGAGAAAUUCAAUGUGGCUUCCAAAGGAAAAUCACAUCUGACUAAUCUAGCGGCCUUCUACAAUGCAGUAACUCAUAAGUGAGCAAGCGAAGAGCAAUCCACCUGGACUUCUGUGAGACCAUUGAUAUGGUGUCCUAUUCUUUCAUGAACAUUCUUGCAUGUGAUUGUAUUCUUUAAUCAUUUGUCAAUAAGUACUUUGACACCUUUGGAAAGUUGCUUUUGCCUAGAGAUUAGCCCUUCAGCUCCUCCUCCUUUCCUCAAACCUCACUCACCUGUCAUAUUAGCCUAAAACCCUACCCUACCCUAAGCAGACAUGAAAAUAGUAUCAGAAAUGUGUCUUCAGCCAUUCAGUUUUGGCUCAGGAUACAGUCAUAGCACAGU
rnacentral:lncRNA from 1 species